CACGUAGGGCGCAAGCGUUGUCCGGAAUUAUUGGGCGUAAAGAGCUCGUAGGCGGACUGUUGCGUCCGCUGUGAAAAGCUGGGGCUUAACCCUGGCCUUGCAGUGGAUACGGGCAGACUAGAGGUAGGUAGGGGAGAAUGGAAUUCCUGGUGUAGCGGUGAAAUGCGCAGAUAUCAGGAGGAACACCGGUGGCGAAGGCGGUUCUCUGGGCCUUACCUGACACUGAGGAGCGAAAGCGUGGGGAGCGAACAGG
rnacentral:rRNA from 1 species